rnacentral:rRNA from 1 species
GAUGAACGCUAGCGGCAGGCCUAAUACAUGCAAGUCGAACGGUAAGGCCCUUUCGGGGGUACACGAGUGGCGGACGGGUGCGUAACGCGUAUGCAACAUGCCUUCCAGCGGGGGAUAUACCAGGGAAACUUGGCGCAAUACCCCAUAGAAUUACGGGACCGCAUGGUCUUGUGAUUAAAACUCCGGUGCUGGGAGAUUGGCAUGCGUGACAUUAGCUAGUUGGCGGGGUAACGGCCCACCAAGGCGACGAUGUCUAGCUGGUCUGAGAGGAUGAUCAGCCACACUGGGACUGAGACACGGCCCAGACUCCUACGGGAGGCAGCAGUAGGGAAUAUUGGACAAU